rnacentral:rRNA from 1 species
UGGUUAGAGGCGAUUAGACUGAAGGAGCAAUCCGCUUCGGGAGGGGCCUGCGUCCCAUCAGCUAGUUGGUAGGGUAAAGGCCUACCAAGGCGACGACGGGUAGGGGACCUGAGAGGGUGACCCCCCACACUGGCACUGAAACACGGGCCAGACACCUACGGGUGGCAGCAGUAGGGAAUAUUGCACAAUGGGCGAAAGCCUGAUGCAGCAACGCCGCGUGCGCGAUGAAGGCCUUCGGGUUGUAAAGCGCUUUUCUGGAGGACGAGGAAGGACGGUACUUCCAGGAAUAAGGCUCGGCUAA